AUUGAACGCUGGCGGCAUGCCUUACACAUGCAAGUCGAACGGCAGCACGGGUGCUUGCACCUGGUGGCGAGUGGCGAAAGGGUGAGUAAUACAUCGGGACAUGUCCUGUAGUGGGGGAUAGCCCGGCGAAAGCCGGAUUAAUACCGCAUAAGAUCUACGGAAGAAAGGGGGGGACCUUCGGGCCUCGCGCUGUGGGGUUGGCCGAUGGCUGAUUAGCUAGUUGGUGGGGUAAAGGCCUACCAAGGCGACGAUCAGUAGCUGGUCUGAGAGGACGACCAGCCACACUGGGACUGAGACACGGCCCAGACUCCUACGGGAGGCAGCAGUGGGGAAUUUUGGACAAUGGGCGAAAGCCUGAUCCAGCAAUGCCGCGUGUGUGAAGAAGGCCUUCGGGUUGUAAAGCACUUUUGUCCGGAAAGAAAUCCUUGGCCCUAAUACGGUCGGGGGAUGACGGUACCGGAAGAAUAAGCACCGGCUAACUACGUG
rnacentral:rRNA from 1 species